GGGAGGCGUGCUAUACAUGCAAGUCGAGCGAACGGACGAGAAGCUUGCUUCUCUGAUGUUAGCGGCGGACGGGUGAGUAACACGUGGAUAACCUACCUAUAAGACUGGGAUAACUUCGGGAAACCGGAGCUAAUACCGGAUAAUAUUUUGAACCGCAUGGUUCAAAAGUGAAAGACGGUCUUGCUGUCACUUAUAGAUGGAUCCGCGCUGCAUUAGCUAGUUGGUAAGGUAACGGCUUACCAAGGCAACGAUGCAUAGCCGACCUGAGAGGGUGAUCGGCCACACUGGAACUGAGACACGGUCCAGACUCCUACGGGAGGCAGCAGUAGGGAAUCUUCCGCAAUGGGCGAAAGCCUGACGGAGCAACGCCGCGUGAGUGAUGAAGGUCUUCGGAUCGUAAAACUCUGUUAUUAGGGAAGAACAUAUGUGUAAGUAACUGUGCACAUCUUGACGGUACCUAAUCAGAAAGCCACGGCUAACUACGUGCCAGCAGCCGCGGUAAUACGUAGGUGGCAAGCGUUAUCCGGAAUUAUUGGGCGUAAAGCGCGCGUAGGCGGUUUUUUAAGUCUGAUGUGAAAGCCCACGGCUCAACCGUGGAGGGUCAUUGGAAACUGGAAAACUUGAGUGCAGAAGAGGAAAGUGGAAAUUCCAUGUGUAGCGGUGAAAUGCGCAGAGAUAUGGAGGAACAACCAGUGGCGAAGGCGACUUUUCUGGUCUGUAACUGACGCUGAUGUGCGAAAGCGUGGGGAUCAAACAGGAUUAGAUACCCUGGUAGUCCACGCCGUAAACGAUGAGUGCUAAGUGUUAGGGGGUUUCCGCCCCUUAGUGCUGCAGCUAACGCAUUAAGCACUCCGCCUGGGGAGUACGACCGCAAGGUUGAAACUCAAAGGAAUUGACGGGGACCCGCACAAGCGGUGGAGCAUGUGGUUUAAUUCGAAGCAACGCGAAGAACCUUACCAAAUCUUGACAUCCUUUGACAACUCUAGAGAUAGAGCUUUCCCCUUCGGGGGACAAAGUGACAGGUGGUGCAUGGUUGUCGUCAGCUCGUGUCGUGAGAUGUUGGGUUAAGUCCCGCAACGAGCGCAACCCUUAAGCUUAGUUGCCAUCAUUAAGUUGGGCACUCUAAGUUGACUGCCGGUGACAAACCGGAGGAAGGUGGGGAUGACGUCAAAUCAUCAUGCCCCUUAUGAUUUGGGCUACACACGUGCUACAAUGGACAAUACAAAGGGCAGCGAAACCGCGAGGUCAAGCAAAUCCCAUAAAGUUGUUCUCAGUUCGGAUUGUAGUCUGCAACUCGACUACAUGAAGCUGGAAUCGCUAGUAAUCGUAGAUCAGCAUGCUACGGUGAAUACGUUCCCGGGUCUUGUACACACCGCCCGUCACACCACGAGAGUUUGUAACACCCGAAGCCGGUGGAGUAACCUUUUAGGAGCUAGCCGUCGAAGGGGACAA
rnacentral:rRNA from 1 species